GUUCCGUCUGAUGGAUUCUGAAGGGGGAAAUCCUGUACGCUGUAUGUUGUAUUUGAAUAAUCCAUAAGCGUAUAGCUUUUCCCAUUCGGCGUUCAUUGUUACAUCA
rnacentral:pre_miRNA from 1 species